rnacentral:rRNA from 1 species
CCAUCCCAGUUCGGAUCGCAGGCUGCAACCCGCCUGCGUGAAGUUGGAAUCGCUAGUAAUCGCGGAUCAGCAUGCCGCGGUGAAUACGUUCCCGGGCCUUGUACACACCGCCCGUCACACCAUGAGAGUCGGGAACACCCGAAGUCCGUAGCCUAACCGCAAGGGGGGCGCGGCCGAAGGUGGGUUCGAUAAUUGGGGUGAAGUCGUAACAAGGUAUC